GAUGAACGCUGGCGGCGUGCCUAAUACAUGCAAGUCGAGCGAACAGACGAGGAGCUUGCUCCUCUGACGUUAGCGGCGGACGGGUGAGUAACACGUGGAUAACCUACCUAUAAGACUGGGAUAACUUCGGGAAACCGGAGCUAAUACCGGAUAAUAUAUUGAACCGCAUGGUUCAAUAGUGAAAGACGGUUUUGCUGUCACUUAUAGAUGGAUCCGCGCCGCAUUAGCUAGUUGGUAAGGUAACGGCUUGCCAAGGCAACGAUGCGUAGCCGACCUGAGAGGGUGAUCGGCCACACUGGAACUGAGACACGGACCAGACUCCUACGGGAGGCAGCAGUAGGGAAUCUUCCGCAAUGGGCGAAAGCCUGACGGAGCAACGCCGCGUGAGUGAUGAAGGUCUUCGGAUCGUAAAACUCUGUUAUUAGGGAAGAACAAAUGUGUAAGUAACUAUGCACGUCUUGACGGUACCUAAUCAGAAAGCCACGGCUAACUACGUG
rnacentral:rRNA from 1 species